UUGGCUUGAUUUAUAUAAGCUUUUGUGUAUUGCUAACAUACCUUUUUAUGGAGUAUUUUGCUGAGAAUUUUGCAUGGAAAUUUGGCUGAUGUUGUAACAUAGAUUUGUAGUUGAAGAAAUGUAGAAUCUGCUUUUUUUAUUAUUAAAAUAGUUUUUUUCAUGCAUUUUCUAUGAACAUGCCAAAUUUCAUCAAAAAAUAAGGAUAAGCAAUUAGUCUAAUUAGUGUUGGACUUUAGGUACCUAAUUUCGAUUUUUUUGUUGUUGUUUUUUUUGGUAAGCAAAAUCCGGUAGGCGCCGAAAUCCGAAUAAGGGGGCGUUUCAAAUAAAAAUCUUAUUUUGAAUUAUUGUGAUAUAUAUUAUUAGAUUUAAAAAAAUAUGGCAACAUAUAGCAAGAGUGUGUUAGAUGCCCUAACAGAAAUCGAAUCUACACAGCCCAUCACUGUUCCUUCUACAUCUGCUAUAAGGGGUAUGUUAACUAAUUUUUACUUUUCAAAAUGUUUAUACAUAUCUUGGCAAUUUCAGUAAUUAUUUUUAAUUACAACUUUGAUAAUAUUUAGUUACAUCUUUAGCACCUACUAAAACUAGUAAGUUUAUAAACUAUUAUUUGCAAAUGU